CGGCGGACGGGUGAGUAACGCGUGGGUAACCUACCCUGUACACACGGAUAACAUACCGAAAGGUAUGCUAAUACGGGAUAAUAUAUUUGAGAGGCAUCUCUUGAAUAUCAAAGGUGAGCCAGUACAGGAUGGACCCGCGUCUGAUUAGCUAGUUGGUAAGGUAACGGCUUACCAAGGGGACGAUCAGUAGCCGACCUGAGAGGGUGAUCGGCCACAUUGGAACUGAGACACGGUCCAA
rnacentral:rRNA from 1 species